AAUAUUGCGCAAUGGAGGGAACUCUGACGCAGCGACGCCGCGUGAGCGAUGAAGGUCUUCGGAUCGUAAAGCUCUGUCCUUGGGGAAGAAGGGAGCUGUAAGGCUUCUUGACGGUACCCAUGGAGGAAGCCCCGGCUAACUACGUGCCAGCAGCCGCGGUAAUACGUAGGGGGCGAGCGUUGUCCGGAAUCACUGGGCGUAAAGGGUGCGUAGGCGGCCUGAUAAGUCAGAUGUGAAAUACCAGGGCUCAACCCUGGGGGUGCAUUUGAAACUGUUGGGCUUGAGUGCAGGAGAGGAAAGUGGAAUUCCUAGUGUAGCGGUGAAAUGCGUAGAGAUUAGGAGGAACACCAGUGGCGAAGGCGACUUUCUGGACUGUAACUGACGCUGAGGCACGAAAGCGUGGGUAGCGAACA
rnacentral:rRNA from 1 species